AGCAGCCGCGGUAAUUCCAGCUCCAAUAGCGUAUAUUAAAGUUGUUGCAGUUAAAAAGCUCGUAGUUGAAUUUCGGGGUCAGCAGGUUGGUCGUGCCAAUGGUAUGCACUGGCCUUGCUGAUUCCUCCCUCUUGAUGAGCCGUAAUGCCAUUAAUUUGGUGUUGCGGGGAAUCAGGACUGUUACUUUGAAAAAUUAGGGUGUUUAAAGCAGGCAAGCGCUUGAAUACAUUAGCAUGGAAUAAUGAAAUAGGACGUUCGAUCCUAUUUUGUUGGUUUCUAGGAUUGACGUAAUGAUUAAUAGGGAUAGUUGGGGGCAUUAGUAUUCAAUUGUCAGAGGUGAAAUUCUUGGAUUUAUUGAAGACUAACUACUGCGAAAGCAUUUGCCAAGGAUGUUUCAUUAAUCAAGAACGAAAGUUAGGGAUCGAAGACGAUCAGAUACCGUCGUAGUACUUAACCAUAAACUAUGCCGACUAGGGAUCGGAUGAUGUUAAUUUUUAAUGUACUCU
rnacentral:misc_RNA from 1 species